AGGUGGAGGUGGAGGUGGAGCACCCAUUGGUGGCGGUGGAGGCGGAGGUCCACCAGAUCUAAACGGAGGUGGUGGUGGUGGUGGAGGUCCACUAGCUCUAAAUGGAGGUGGUGGAGGAGGAGGAGGUGAAGUUUUACCAAAAGGAGGGGGUGGUGGAGGAGGAGGGGAACCAUGACCUGGUGGCGGAGGAGGAGGUGGAGGAAUUGAGCGUACAUGACUGAAAGGAGGAGGUGGAGGUGGUGGUGGGGAUCCAUAACUCAGUGGAGGAGGCGGCGGUGGGGGUGGAGAUCCAUAACUCGGUGGAGGAGGGGGAGGUGGGGGUGGAGAUCCAUAACUUGGUGGAGGAGGGGGAGGGGGAGGCACUGAAUAUGCAUUACUAAAAGGAGGAGGUGGAGGUGGUGGUGGAGCUGUUUUACUAGGUGGAAGAGGUGGAGAUCCAUAACUUGGUGGAGAAGGGGGAGGGGGAGGUACUGAAUAUGCAUUACUAAAAGGUGGAGGUGAUGGUGGAGCUGUUUUACUAGGUGGAAGAGGUGGAGAUGGAGAAGUGGAAAAACCAUUAAUAGGAAGGAUCUUGAGUGCUGGUGUAGGUGCAACACUCGUAUAAGGCAGAGGAGGUGGAGGGGGGAUGUGAUCUCCAUUUGCUUUUGUUGUAUUUAAUGAGCUAAAAGGAGGAGGAGGUGGUGGUGGUGGGGAAGAAGAUGUAGAGCACGCCUCAUGAGUAUCAAAAGACAAAGCAUACACAGACUUCCAAGGUGGUGGAGGUGGUGCUGGAGGCAACAAAGUUUCACUGUUUCGCCUCACAGAUGCAAACGGAGGUGGUGGAGGAGGAGGCGGUGGCGAUGGUAGCUGAGAUGUUUGAGAGUCACUGCUCUUUUGACCGACUGAAUAGUAUGCAGGCGGAGGUGGUGGUGGAGGUGGUGAAGAGGUAGGAAGUUGAGAAGGAGAACAUAUUGCAGGAGUCGCCAAAGCUGACACAUACACAGACUUCCAAGGUGGAGAUAGUGGUGAAGGAGGCAACACAGUUCCACUGUUUGGUCUCUCAGAUGAAAAAGGAAGAGGUGGCUGUGGUGGUGGUGGUGGAGGCAACACAGUUCCACUGUUUGGUCUCUCAGAUGAAAAAGGAGGAGGUGGCGGCGGUGGUGGUCGUGGGAGCUGAGAUGUUUGAUAGUGGCUGUAAGUAGGUAAUGGCGGUGGU
rnacentral:lncRNA from 1 species